rnacentral:rRNA from 1 species
GAUGAACGCUGGCGGCGUGCCUAAUACAUGCAAGUCGAGCGAACAGAUGAGGAGCUUGCUCCUCUGACGUUAGCGGCGGACGGGUGAGUAACACGUGGAUAACCUACCUAUAAGACUGGGAUAACUUCGGGAAACCGGAGCUAAUACCGGAUAAUAUAUUGAACCGCAUGGUUCAAUAGUGAAAGACGGUUUUGCAGUCACUUAUAGAUGGAUCCGCGCCGCAUUAGCUAGUUGGUAAGGUAACGGCUUACCAAGGCAACGAUGCGUAGCCGACCUGAGAGGGUGAUCGGCCACACUGGAACUGAGACACGGUCCAGACUCCUACGGGAGGCAGCAGUAGGGAAUCUUCCGCAAUGGGCGAAAGCCUGACGGAGCAACGCCGCGUGAGUGAUGAAGGUCUUCGGAUCGUAAAACUCUGUUAUUAGGGAAGAACAAAUGUGUAAGUAACUAUGCACGUCUUGACGGUACCUAAUCAGAAAGCCACGGCUAACUACGUG